GCUGGUAUAGCUCAGUUGGUAGAGCAUGAGAUCUCAGAGUUGUGGGCUCAAGCCCCACCUUGGGCA